rnacentral:rRNA from 1 species
UACGGAGGGUGCAAACGUUGCUCGGAAUCAUUGGGCGUAAAGCGCACGUAGGCGGCCUGAUAAGUCGGGUGUGAAAGCCCUGGGCUCAACCCAGGAAGUGCACUCGAAACUGUCAGGCUUGAAUAUGGAUGAGGGUCGCGGAAUUCCCGGUGUAGAGGUGAAAUUCGUAGAUAUCGGGAGGAACACCAGUGGCGAAGGCGGCGACCUGGGCCAAUAUUGACGCUGAGGUGCGAAAGCGUGGGGAGCAAACAGG